GAUGAACGCUGGCGGCGUGCUUAACACAUGCAAGUCGAACGAAGCACUUUAUUUGAUUUCCUUCGGGACUGAUUAUUUUGUGACUGAGUGGCGGACAGGUGAGUAACGCGUGGGUAACCUGCCUUGUACAGGGGGAUAACAGUUGGAAACGGCUGCUAAUACCGCAUAAGCGCACGGCAUCGCAUGAUGCAGUGUGAAAAACUCCGGUGGUAUAAGAUGGACCCGCGUUGGAUUAGCUAGUUGGUGAGGUAACGGCCCACCAAGGCGACGAUCCAUAGCCGACCUGAGAGGGUGACCGGCCACAUUGGGACUGAGACACGGCCCAAACUCCUACGGGAGGCAGCAGUGGGGAAUAUUGCACAAUGGGCGAAAGCCUGAUGCAGCGACGCCGCGUGAGCGAAGAAGUAUUUCGGUAUGUAAAGCUCUAUCAGCAGGGAAGAUAAUGACG
rnacentral:rRNA from 1 species